rnacentral:rRNA from 1 species
CCCUUAGAUGUUCUGGGCCGCACGCGCGCUACACUGACGAAUGCAACGAGCUUAUAACCUUGGCCGAAAGGUCUGGGUAAUCUCCAAAUUUCGUCGUGAUGGGGAUAGAUUAUUGCAAUUAUUAAUCUUCAACGAGGAAUGCCUAGUAAGCGCAAGUCAUCAGCUUGCGUUGAUUACGUCCCUGCCCUUUGUACACACCGCCCGUCGCUCCUACCGAUUGAAUGAUCCGAUGAAUACCAUGGAUUGAGAGUACGAAUAGGUUCGCUUAUUUCUGCUGCUCGAGAAGUGGAGUAAAUCUUAUCAUUUAGAGGAAGGAGAAGUCGUAACA